rnacentral:tRNA from 1 species
GAUGUCAAGAUGGCUGCCACCAACACCCAAGGACA